GAUCUACUCCCUCCAUUCUAAAUUACUUGUCUCAAAAAUAGAUAAAAAUGAAUGUAUUUACAACUAAAAUACGUCUAGAUGCAUCCAUUUCUGUGAUAAGUAAUUCCGAACGGAGGGAGUACUAA
rfam:Triticum aestivum genome assembly, contig: Triticum_aestivum_CS42_TGACv1_scaffold_343030_4DL